UACGGAGGGGGCUAGCGUUGUUCGGAAUUACUGGGCGUAAAGCGCGCGUAGGCGGACCUGCAAGUCGGGGGUGAAAUCGUUCGGCCCAACCGGACAAGGGCCCCCGAUACUGGCCGUCUCGAGGGAGGUAGGGGUCGAUGGAACUUCCGGUGGAGCGGUGAAAUGCGUAGAUAUCGGAAGGAACGCCGGUGGCGAAAGCGAUCGACUGGACCUCUUCUGACGCUGAGGCGCGAAAGCCAGGGGAGCAAACGGG
rnacentral:rRNA from 1 species